ensembl:snRNA U6 U6 spliceosomal RNA
GUGUUCACUUUGGCAGUACAUAUACAGUACUAAAACUGGAACAAUGCAGAAAAGGUUAGCAUAGCUCCUAUGUAAGGAAGACAUAUAAAUUUGUGAAGUGUUCCAUAUUUUU